rnacentral:rRNA from 1 species
GAUGACCUGCUGACGGCGAGCUUAACACAUACAAGUCGAACGGUGAACACGGAGCUUGCUCUGUGGGAUCAGUGGUGAACGGGUGAGUAACACGUGAGCAGCUUGCUGCAGUCUAUGGGAUAAGCGCUGGAAACGGCGUCUAAUACCGGAUAUGAGCUCCUGCCGCAUGGUGGGGGUUGGAAAGAUUUAUCGGUCUGGGAUGGGCUCGCGGCCUAUCAGCUUGUUGGUGAGGUAAUGGCUCACCAAGGCGUAGACGGGUAGCCGGCCUGAGAGGGUGACCGGCCACACUGGGAUUGAGACACGGCCCAGACUCCUACGGGAGGCAGCAGUGGGGAAUAUUGCACAAUGGGCGCAAGCCUGAUGCAGCAACGCCGCGUGAGGGAUGACGGCCUUCGGGUUGUAAACCUCUUUUGGCAGGGAAGAAGCCUUCGGGCGACGGUACCUGCAGAAAAAGCACCGGCUAACUACGUG